rnacentral:sRNA from 1 species
GAAUACGCCCGGCGACCCGCUGUCGCAGGCGUACGAGCUGUG